rnacentral:rRNA from 1 species
GAUGAACGCUGGCGGCGUGCUUAACACAUGCAAGUCGAACGAUGAACCUCACUUGUGGGGGGAUUAGUGGCGAACGGGUGAGUAACGCGUGAGUAACCUGCCCUUGACUCUGGGAUAAGCCUGGGAAACCGGGUCUAAUACUGGAUACGACCUUCUGGCGCAUGCCAUGUUGGUGGAAAGCUUUUGUGGUUUUGGAUGGACUCGCGGCCUAUCAGCUUGUUGGUGGGGUAAUGGCCUACCAAGGCGACGACGGGUAGCCGGCCUGAGAGGGUGACCGGCCACACUGGGACUGAGACACGGCCCAGACUCCUACGGGAGGCAGCAGUGGGGAAUAUUGCACAAUGGGCGCAAGCCUGAUGCAGCGACGCCGCGUGAGGGAUGAAGGCCUUCGGGUUGUAAACCUCUUUCAGUAGGGAAGAAGCCGGCUUUUGGGUUGGUGACGGUACCUGCAGAAGAAGCGCCGGCUAACUACGUG